GUUUUCCUGACAUUUUCUUUGCUCUCUAGCAGAAGCCUGUGAAGGAUUUGAUCUUACACUGACUGGUCUUUGGAAUUGUUCAUAAUUCCAUCCACCUUGACUAAAGCCAACUCCCAGCUGAAAAAAACACAUUGUGUAGUGUCUGUUUUUAAAGUGUUGAAGGACUUCCUUGUACCCCCGAUUUGAUGUUUUAAAUGAAUCAAACCGCAUAUUAGAUUGAAGAACUACUUGGUGCAGAAAUGAUCUACACAUUUAUUCAAACGUCUAAUAAUAAUGACCGAAAUGCUGACCGUUUUCUCCAUAAUUUUCUGGUCGAUCCUCUUGGAUGUAGGGAAUCUCAUCCAUACGGAGGAACACGGUGUCAUUGGGACUCCGCUGGCCAUCAGAUUUGCUACCUGUGUGAAGAAAGGUGCCAGUCAACACUAGCCUUGAAGGUGUUGCGAAGGCCCGCGUGGGGAUGGAGCUGAGCUAGCCGAGCCAGUCCCAGGCGGGUGUGGGCGCUGGUGAGGGGGAGGGCGAUACUGUGGGAACGAGCUUCCACCACAGACUGUCUCCCUUUCGUGUCUGGGUCCACCGGGUCCGGCGUCUGGGGGGAGCUGUCCAUCCGUGUGGCCGUUAGGGCGUUUUGGUCUGUGAGCUGUCGGACCGAGUAGUCUGGUAAGUAGAGCCCUCCUGCAGAGAGCUGACCAAUACUGCCGCCACUCAGCAGCGAGUCUGAUUGGUUCAGACCACUGCUGCGAGAGUUGUAUCGAUGACCUGCAUG